CGAAAGCCUGACGGAGCAAGACCGCGUGAGGGAGGAAGGCUCUUGGGUUGUAAACCUCUUUUCUCAGGGAAGAAGCUCUGACGGUACCUGAGGAAUCAGCCUCGGCUAACUCCGUGCCAGCAGCCGCGGUAAGACGGAGGAUGCAAGCGUUAUCCGGAAUUAUUGGGCGUAAAGCGUCCGCAGGUGGCGAUUCAAGUCUGCUGUCAAAGCACGGGGCUUAACUCCGUUAAGGCAGUGGAAACUGAAUGGCUAGAGUGCCGUAGGGGUAGAGGGAAUUCCCGGUGUAGCGGUGAAAUGCGUAGAGAUUGGGAAGAACACCGGUGGCGAAAGCGCUCUACUGGACCACACCUGACGCUCAGAGGACGAAAGCUAGGGGAGCG
rnacentral:rRNA from 1 species